rnacentral:sRNA from 1 species
UAUUUGCCAUCCCUGCUGCAAGUGGCAGGUGUUAAACCGCCUGACUUUUGCGUCUACUCUUUCUCACCUGCGUCGUUUAAAUUCUCCUAUUGGUAGAGACGGCAAGCUAGCAAAACCAAGACAGUUGCAUAAUACGUUGUGGGGAAUGGUGUGUCCUGCCGAGACCCCAGAGGGCCAUGCUGUAGGACUUGUGAAGAAUUUAGCCUUGAUGGCAUAUAUUUCAGUUGGAUCUCAACCAUCUCCAAUUCUGGAAUUUUUAGAAGAAUGGAGUAUGGAAAAUUUAGAAGAAAUUUCUCCUGCAGCUAUUGCUGAUGCAACCAAGAUUUUUGUUAAUGGCUGCUGGGUUGGAAUACAUAAAGAUCCCGAACAACUUAUGAACACCCUAAGGAAAUUGAGACGUCAGAUGGACAUCAUUGUGUCUGAGGUUUCUAUGAUCAGAGAUAUUCGAGAGAGGGAGAUUCGGAUCUAUACAGAUGCAGGCCGUAUUUGUAGACCACUUCUGAUUGUGGAAAAACAAAAGCUACUUUUGAAGAAGAGGCAUAUUGACCAAUUGAAAGAGAGAGAAUAUAACAACUAUAGGU